GGUAUCAUUGCUGAACCUCUGUGCUGAGUGAGUGCCCAGUCACACAGGACUUGAUUCUCAUGAGCCAGGAUUCGUAUAAAGAAAUUGACUUUGAUAUGAAGUCACCACUUCCAGGAAUAUCGCUUUCAAGUCUAUUCAGCAUUCCAGAAUUCCUUCCUCUGAGAGCGGGACAGGAUCCUCUCUAGAAUGUUGAUCUUAUGACCUACAGUCAAACAAGGAUUAGCAAAUGUGGCAUUGCUUUCCCAUUAGGAUUAGCUGUCAACCAUCAGCUGUAAUAGUAGAAAAAUCACAGCUGUUCUCCAAGCAAGCCCAGAAGAUGAUGCUAGGAAGUUACUAUCAGUUUCUA